rnacentral:misc_RNA from 1 species
UCCGGCUUGUCACCGGCAGUCUCACAUGAGUCCCCAACUGAAUGCUGGCAACAUGCGACGGGGGUUGCGCUCGUUGCGGGACUUAACCCAACAUCUCACGACACGAGCUGACGACAACCAUGCACCACCUGUGUUCCCGCCAGCCGAACUGAAGGACUCCAUCUCUGGAGUCCAAACGGGACAUGUCAAAGGUUGGUAAGGUUCUGCGCGUUGCUUCGAAUUGAACCACAUGCUCCACCGCUUGUGCGGGCCCCCGUCAAUUCCUUUGAGUUUUAAUCUUGCGACCGUACUCCCCAGGCGGGAUGCUUAAUGCGUUAGCUGCGCCACUGACAGGCAAGCCUGCCAACGGCUAGCAUCCAUCGUUUACGGCGUGGACUAC